rnacentral:rRNA from 1 species
AUUGAACGCUGGCGGCAUGCCUUACACAUGCAAGUCGAACGGCAGCACGGGAGCAAUCCUGGUGGCGAGUGGCGAACGGGUGAGUAACAUAUCGGAACGUGCCCAAUCGUGGGGAUAACGUAGAGAAAUUUACGCUAAUACCGCAUACGAUCUAAGGAUGAAAGCGGGGGGAUCGCAAGACCUCGCGCGAUUGGAGCGGCUGAUAUCAGAUUAGGUUGUUGGUGAGGUAAAAGCUCACCAAGCCGACGAUCUGUAGCUGGUCUGAGAGGACGACCAGCCACACUGGGACUGAGACACGGCCCAGACUCCUACGGGAGGCAGCAGUAGGGAAUUUUGGACAAUGGGCGCAAGCCUGAUCCAGCAAUGCCGCGUGCAGGAUGAAGGCCU